rnacentral:rRNA from 1 species
UACGGAGGAUGCAAGCGUUAUCCGGAAUUAUUGGGCGUAAAGCGUCCGCAGGUGGCACUUCAAGUCUGCUGUCAAAGACCGGGGCUUAACCCUGGAAAGGCAGUGGAAACUGAAGCGCUAGAGUGUGGCAGGGGUAGAGGGAAUUCCCGGUGUAGCGGUGAAAUGCGUAGAGAUCGGGAAGAACAUCGGUGGCGAAAGCGCUC